GAAGAAAGAAGGAAACGAAGAAUAGAGGGAGAGGGUGAGGGAACAGAGGAAGAAGAGAGGAAGAAGGAUCGUUGCGUCGUGCUGCUCCUUGCGCCGGUUGCCGUCGCUGUCGCCAGAGCCAGAGGACAGAGAGAGAACGCUCGCAAGGGAGAGGACAAACGCGAGGAGAAGGAGAGCUCGUGCGCGAAGGACAGCACCGCCACUCCGUCACCGUGCAGCUGUUGCUGCCACCCCGUCACCAUCGUUGUCGCGGCGGGAAGCAUAAAGUUCGAACAGAAGGGGAGAAACCACGAGUGAAGGGUGACGCUGGGCCUCUGUCGCUGCUGCUAUCACCAAGCGUCGCUGUCGUUGCCGCCGAAGGCCAAGGCCCUAUCGUUGUCAU
rnacentral:lncRNA from 1 species